rnacentral:rRNA from 1 species
UACGAAGGGUGCAAACGUUGCUCGGAAUUAUUGGGCGUAAAGCGCACGUAGGCGGCUUUGCAAGUCGGAUGUGAAAUCCCUCGGCUUAACCAAGGAAGUGCAUCCGAAACUGCAGAGCUUGAGUACUUAAGAGGAUCGCGGAAUUCCAAGUGUAGCGGUGAAAUGCGUAGAUAUUUGGAGGAACACCAGUGGCGAAAGCGACUUUCUGGGACAUUUCUGACGCUGAGGAACGAAAGCUCGGGGAGCAAACAGG